UGGGGAAUAUUGGACAAUGGGCGAAAGCCUGAUCCAGCCAUGCCGCGUGUGUGAAGAAGGUCUUCGGAUUGUAAAGCACUUUAAGUUGGGAGGAAGGGCAUUAACCUAAUACGUUAGUGUUUUGACGUUACCGACAGAAUAAGCACCGGCUAACUCUGUGCCAGCAGCCGCGGUAAUACAGAGGGUGCAAGCGUUAAUCGGAAUUACUGGGCGUAAAGCGCGCGUAGGUGGUUUGUUAAGUUGGAUGUGAAAGCCCCGGGCUCAACCUGGGAACUGCAUCCAAAACUGGCAAGCUAGAGUACGGUAGAGGGUGAUGGAAUUUCCUGUGUAGCGGUGAAAUGCGUAGAUAUAGGAAGGAACACCAGUGGCGAAGGCGACCACCUGGACUGAUACUGACACUGAGGUGCGAAAGCGUGGGGAGCAAACA
rnacentral:rRNA from 1 species